rnacentral:rRNA from 1 species
CCCUUAGAUGUUCUGGGCUGCACGCGCGCUACACUGAUGCGCUCAACGAGUUUACGAACUUGCCCGGAAGGGUUGGUUAAUCUUUUUAAAACGCAUCGUGAUGGGGAUAGAUUAUUGCAAUUAUUAAUCUUCAACGAGGAAUUCCUAGUAAGCGCGAGUCAUCAGCUCGUGCUGAUUACGUCCCUGCCCUUUGUACACACCGCCCGUCGGUCCUACCGAUUGAGUGAUCCGGUGAAUAAUUCGGACUGCAGCACUGCUUGGUCUCCAGGCUUUGCAGCGGAAAGUUUAGUGAACCUUAUCACUUAGAGGAAGGAGAAGUCGUAACA